UAUUAUGAGUAUGUUCUGGAUACUUGACAUUGCUUCGAUGCAAUUGCAUCCGAAUAGGUGGGCGGCUAUACAGGUGUUUCGAGCACUUUGCUUCAAUAGCUAUGUGUUGGCAACACCUAGACUCUUCUUGCAUUACUUUUACAGUCGUCCACAGGACAAGGCUCAAUGGAUAUCAUUGAUUUGAAUACCGAAGCACCCUCUUUUUCACCCUUUUACUUCUUAUAAAAAUUUUAAAACCGGCUACUUCAAAGUAACUAUAAGACCAGUCGUUGGGAAAAACCACUUCUACGACUCAGUGGGGAACCCAUUGUUCCCCUUCUACUGGCAACAGUGUCCUCGAUGGUAUGAAAAGUACCCAAAGGAGCUACUGAGUCCCAACAAUUGUCGAGACCUCAAAUUCCUCAAAAUGCUCCCUCGUUAGCUACCUGCUUGGCCUUUUGUGCCACUUUUGUAGUCUUUGAAUCCUAUCUAGGACCUUGAGGGAAUCAUGACUCAGGCCGAUGACAACAUGAAUGUUUUUCGCCAGGCUUGGCUAAAUCAAAUCGUUGCUGCUGGUGAACCUUCGUUGAAUCCUGCUACUAAUCAGACAUCGGGGCCUUGUGAUGUUUUCGACUGAUGUGGUGGCCCCUGCUAGCAAAGACCUUAGGGGGAAACAAAAGCAUAAGAAGUGGAGCCACCAGGAGCACUGGAGCGGCUCGGGGGAACACUCCGGGCACCAGGAAGACACCUCUUGGGAGAAGAGGCUUAAGCAGCCAAUAAUUGGAUUUCAACCUGAUGUUGCCACCUCUUUGGGCAACAUCUCGGCCCCUAACGAAUCAAGGCUUCUUCAACCAUUCCUUCUGGCUGGACCGCCUUAUCCUGACGGAAAUUGUUUCGAAGCAAGGGUGUCAAGUGCUGAGUAGAAGCGACACCGUUGCCAAUUGGGCCAACUUUUGGGACUUCCUCUCUAGGGUGUCAGCGAUUGCCCAACAUCUUCAGGGGUCGUCCAAAGCCGAUGCUUUGAAGGACCAGUUCCUAAAGGUCGAGGAUUCCUUGAACUCAGCGCUUCAGGCCAACAUGAAGCUGGUCGAAGACAACAAAAAUCUUAAGGACCAGGUUCUUCGACUAACAAAUGAUGCCAAGGGAUUGGAGACGUGCACCCUAAAUGUCGAGGCCUUGAUUAGAUCUCAAGAUACUGAAAUAUCUAGGCUUUGAUUAGCCAUGGUUGAUGCCAACAAGGAAACAAAAGAGGUUAAUGCUGAGAAGGAACAAAUUCAACAGAAGGCAUUCGAUAAUGUGUACAAUACACAUAAGGCCGACUUCGACCACUGCCAUCGACAGAUGUUGCACAUGUGCGAUGUUUCUGAACCCGGGGUCUUUGACAUUAAAAAGGAUGCCUAUGAAGGGGGGCUGGUUUUAAUUGAUGAAAUCAUGAAAGAGGAUGUUGCUCCUUCACACCCAAGGAUUAUGACCCUAGCAAAGGAGCCACAGGUCAAGGGAGCCGAGGACAGAGCAGACAAGGCCUAGGGAUUGAGUCUCUUAGGCUUUUAUUUAUGAUUUUUGUGCAGCUCUUCUUUCUUUUUACUAUUUGUCGGUCCCUAGCUCUUUUUGUAUAUCCCGGUCUCCAACUGCCUUUUGUAUUCACCGGUUCUCGGCUUACCAUUAAUGAAAUUUCUUUUCCAAUUGUUGGUUUA